AUAUAUGUAUAUUAAUAAGUAUAUAUUAAUAUAAUAUUAUCUAUUAUAUACAUAUGUAUAUAUAAUGUCCGUAUUCCAGUUUCUUUUCUGAACCCUCCAUUUAGGAUAAUUCGCGACGAAUGAAACGGAAUUAAAUGUACCCUGCAUGAAUGGGAAAAAACUGGCUCGCUUGGCGAUCGCUAUUAUAUAGUUAAGGAGAAAAUAUCAGAGAGAAUUGAAACGUUUUUUGAGACAUUUAAAGGAAAAACGAUUAUGAUACAUGCAAUGCCAUUGCAAAGUGACAGCAAAUGCUUCCAUUGGCACAGUAGGCCAUGCAGAUAACUUAUCUAAGAUAAGAAAAACUAAUGAUAGGUAAUAUAUACAAAUAUAAAUAUAUAUAUAAAUAUAUAAAUAUGUAUAUUAAUACCUAUUUGCCGUUCGAUAGACGUCAGUCUGCAGUUAUUUGGACAGUGUAAUUUAAAUACUGCCAGACCAAUCGAGUUAUUGGCAUUUACUUUUACGAAGGAGACCCACUCACCACUGUUUGUUUUAUGCGCAAUCCGACGCUUCGCAAUUUUUACGACAUUAUUAACAGCCGCAAUAUAACUUUCUUUUCUUUUUUUAUUUCUCAGACCCGUGAAUUUUGUUCACGAAUGCGUACGAGAUAGUUGGCAUCGAAGGCUUAACUCAGGACGAAAAUAAAAGAGAAACACUGACUGCGCACGUUUACACAGCGACGGGACUAUUUAAUUUUAGACUUUUACAUAGUUACCAAGCCAAAAAAUAAUUAAUACAUAAAAACGGGCGCAAGAGGUAAGGUUUAAUAAGGACGUAUAUUUGUAACUUGCGAAAAGAAGGCAGACUAAGAAACGUGACUCGCACUCUUUAGGGCGCAUUUUUUUCACAAUAAUUUUUGUAAUUUUUUAAACUGCCGUGUUGCGGGAGAUGCGCGCAUAUGAAACACAUACAUACACAUACGUGCACGCAUUCGUCUUAUCGUUCGAUUGCGGCGAAAGAGUGCGGGGGUACGGUAGACGAAUACGCGUACGCAGCUGUUUCUUCGAUACCUCGAUAGUUUCCUGAUAUUUUUGAAAAGGAAAUACGAGAAACGAGUAGAAAAAAAAAGAAAGAAAGAAAUUUCAUAUGCGUCCCGAACUUUCGUGGAGGAGGGGAGGUGAGGCGGGGGGAGGAGCUCCACUCGCCGUCCGUCGUCGGGACGACGUGCGGAGCGACGAGCUCGCGGGCGCGCCUAUACACUGGUAUGAAUGCUGACGAUUAAUAUUGUAUGUGAGAUAAAAUAACUGAGGAUGUUUCGUAUGUGCAAGGUAUAAAUCGCGAUAUAAUAUUACGACUAAUUAAUUCGUGUCUUUGUAUAACGUAUAGAGGAUUUAAGUGCAUGGAGCAGAGGGAAGCCGCCACGCACACGCGCGACUCGCGCGCGCGGGGAUUCUUCCUUCUCCUUCGCGCGCGGAUCGUAUCGAAACUCUGGCCAGGAUUCAUCCCGAUAUGUAAUUCCCCGAAGAAAAACGCGCUUUCUCGCUUAGUGUAACUAAACGCACCGGCUCUCGACCGCCUCGCGCUCGCGAAAGACUGGGAGAGGAUCGCCGGCCGCGGUCGCGUGUCAAAGACUUUUCCCUCCCGGAUAUUACCCUUUUUCAUCGCUCGCGUCUUGUUUAUCGCAGAAUUGUACGAGAGAGAGAGAUAGGGGAGAGAUUGCGAUUGUCGCCCGUGAUUGUCGCAACGCGAUUGCUUUCAUAACGUGAACCAAUAUAUGUAUAAGUAUGUUUUCUUAUUAUUUUUAUAUAAUGUACGAAUAAAGAUCUUCUGUGUUAAAUUUUUACGCUAAGACCUGAAUGCAACGCAAUCCACUUGCUGUCGCAAGGUGGGGUCAUCUUUACAAAUGUGAUGUUCUUUUGCGUGCGCGAUCCUCGUUGGAAGAAUAAAUGUAAGUUUACGCGCGCGCAAAGAGGAUGUUAAAAUAAUCGACGUCUGUACAUGGAAAAAAAAUGAUUUUGCUGGAUACAGAUUAAAAAAUAAUUUAGUUGGGCCAUAAAAAUAAUUUUGUCGGAAAUUCAAACUGGUUACUAGAAUAUCAAGAUGUUUUACAGCAGUUAAUUAUUUUUAGGUUUUCACCAAAUUAUUUUUAAAGUCCAACAAAAUUAUUUUCAAAUAAUUUGAAGAACUUAAAAUAUUAUUUUCAUUUGCAUCUAGCAAAAUUUUCAGACCUUCCAGCAAAAUCGUUUUUUUCGUGUAUGUCAAAUCUUUGCUAAAUCAAAAACUCACAUUCGAUACGGACACGUCGAAGUCCUAGUUAUUGUUUCAGGCGAGAUGCGCACAAAGUAAUAAUGCCGCGGCUGAACGACGGAAAACGUAACGUAGCGGUACGGUAUUUGAGAGUGGAUGGAUUCGGGAAAACCGAGGGUUUGCGAUGCCGUUGCAAACGGAAGAGGGUGACAUCCGUAUAUAUUCCGUCUGUGAUCUGCGGUAAACAAGCACAAGUCCAUAUCACGCUUCUAAUCAUAUCAUCGCUCUGUCGUUGCAUAUCCCCUAAGCGCUGCAACUUGCGUUACUGUGAAAAUGAUGGUAAUGUAUAAAUAGGCAUGUACGAUACUUAUAAGAUAUAUAUAUAUAGAGAGAGAAAGAGGAGACAAGCGUGUGGGAGAGAAACUCUUCCCCGCUUGAACAGGGUGGGAGGAAAGGAUGAAACUUCACAAAUAUAUAGCAUACUCUCGCUUGCGGCGACUUUUCUGGCCUGUGUGAGAAUGGAUCGAAAGUAUUUUAUAACUGCGUGUAUAAAAGUGGAAGGGACGGCAAAUUGCGUAACGCUAAUUGCGACUGUAACUUUCGGCCGCUUUUUGAGAGAAAAUCGGGCUAACGCGUGGGACGGGCACGACGUGAAAAAGUUCCAUUACAGGGAGAGAGAGAGAGAGAGAGAGAGAAAAAGGAGAAACUAUCUCGCAUCGCUUAUACGAAUGUGUUGUAUACAUAGCUAUAUACGUAUACACGCAAUUUAUGUUAUCUCGUUUCGAAUUAUGCUUUAGACCGGUCUGCAAUUUGUGCGAAUUUUAUCGUCUUAUUUUGGAGGAGAAAGAGAGACAGACAAAUAUCUAUAACGAAGGUAUGUCAAAGCGUCACUCGAAAUGAAAUAGCGUAAUUGUACAUUAUAUACAUAAUAUACACUUAAAAAAGUAUCAUAUCGACGGGAAUUUUCAGAUUAUUUUUAUUCGUGAAAACUCUUCGAUAUAUAUAUAUACACACAUAUAUCAGAAAACAUUUGCGUUGAUAUAUUCGCGAAAAUCGAGGCUGGAACAUUUUUCGUACGAACGCGUUUCUCCGUUGGGUAACGAAGCCAUCGACAUACUUAUCUUCUAAGUUUCUCGUUAAGUGACAUAUCUCGAAGGAGAGAGAGAGAGAGGAAACGGAAGAACCAAAAUCCGCGAAAAUACGGCGUGUCGGACCGAGUCCGCGUCCCAAGAGAAUCGCGCACGAUUAUCUCGGGGAUCGUGUGGCAGUACGGUUCGUCGAAUAAUCAAUGGAGAAAAUCAUGUCGAAUUAAUGAUAAACAUAUACAGAUAUCUCUUCGAGACUAGUAUACUGACAAAGAAACACGUGUAAAGUUAAGAGUUAAUAAAACCAUUUUAGGGUA